AGGGAGACAUCGAUCACCUGCCUCCUGCACACCUCUUACUGGGGAUGUGCCUGCAACCAACGUACAUGCCCUUGACUGGAAUCGAACCUGUUACCCUUCUGUCCACAGGCUGACGCUCUAUCCACUGAGCCAAACUGGUCAGGGCAGGAUUUACUUUCUUAACUAUUUUCAAAUAUACCAUGUAGCAGUGUUAACUAUAGUCAUCAUGUUGUACAUUAUAUCCCCAGUUCUUAUUUAUCUUACAAUGGAAGUUUGAGUAUCUUUUGACCAAGUUUCCCUUCCCAUUUCCCAUCUCUAGUAACCACAAAUCUGAUCUCUUUUUCUAUGAGUUUAUUUUUUUUAUGAGUUCACAUAUAAGUGAGAUCAUACAGUAUUUUGUCUAUCUCUCUUAUUUCACUUAGCAUAAUGCCCUCAAGGUCCAUCCAUGUUGUUGCAAAUGGCAAGAUUUACUUUUUUUUGGUUUUAUGGCUGAACAAUAUUCUGUAAUGUGUAGAUACACCACAACUUUUUAAUCCAUUUUUCUGUCAGUGACCACUUAGGUUAUUUUCAUGUCUUUGCUGUGAUAGAUAAUGUUAUAUAAACAUUGGGGUGCCGAUAUCUUUUUGAUGUACUGCUUUGUUUCCUUCAGAUAUAUUCCAAAAAGUGAAAUUCAGUGGAAUAUGGGUCGACUUAUUUUAAAUACAUGUUUGAAUAUUUUCUCAAUAUAUAUGUUAUUUUUUUAACAAUCUAUAUAUAUAAAGGCCUAAGUGACCGGCCAACCCUUCCACCGUUCGACUGGUAGCUAUGAUCCACACUGACCACCAUGGGGCAGAUGCUCAGCGCACAGGCAUGGAAACAUGGAACAGGCUGAUGAAUCUCAUAGGGAAGGUGGGGGAGGAUGGGAAGAGAUUAACCAAAGGUCUCAUAUGCAUACUAGAGGCCCGGUGCAUGUGCACCCGUGGGGUCCCUCAGUCUGGCCUGUGGGGAUCGGGCCAAAAUUGGUAGUCUGACAUCCCCUGAGGGGUCCUGGAUUGCGAGAGGGCGCAGGCCAGACCAAGGGACUUCACCGGUGCAUGAAUCUGUGCACUGGGCCUCUAGUCAUUUAAUAAACUUAGAGCUGUCUUUAAUCUGGACUUCUGUUAUGCUCUGGAUAGCAGAAAAUUUGAGAUUAUACUGUGAAAGGGGUUGGAAGUCAAGUAUUUGAUAUUGCUGAUCAAGAGUAGUGUUCACUGCUUUGGAAACCAAACCAGAAGUUGAUGGAAAUGAUAAUUGAUACUAGCUAUUUAAUCUUAUAGAGCUGAGUAGGAGAUAUAUCUACAUAUAGAUGUAGCCCAUAGUAAUCCAAGAAAGCGGUUUUGGAUCUGCUAAAGGCCUUGAAUAAAUACUGAAUGUAGUCCCCGGAGUCCCACACCAUGGAACAUGAGCAGAAGUAGUUUGUUCCUGGAACAUUUUUAGACCAGGUAUUAUUAAUAACCCAAAGUCUGUUCAGUAAUUUCAAAGUACUCCAGAGAAUAUCUGAUUUUGAGCCUGGAUGAACUAGCUGCAGAUUGUAUUUGCACUAACGGAACUACUUGCACUUGAGGUACAGUUAUUGACUAAGUUGUAGGGAAUAUUUGUUGAAGAUAAUGUUUUAUUAACAUUUUAUUUUAACCCUUAUAACAUAGACAGUACAAUGAAUCCCUAUGAACCUAUGGCCAGUUUUAACAGUUACCACUUUAUUGUUAAUUUUAUCUAAAUUUCACUACUUCCCAUCUCACAUUGUUUUAAGGCAAAUUCCAGAUGUGAUAUAGUUGUAUCUAUAACUAUUUCAGUAUGUAUCAUUCAAGUACAGUGACUUUAAUAAAAGGGAAAACAGGUUAAUGACAAUACUACCAUCAAGCCUUUAAGCUUAACACAUUGAGGAUGGAUCGCGAGAAUUCUCGCUUCAUAUUACACAUGGUUUUACAAAGUAUCAUACUUUAAAAAGAUAUUAGCUUGUAAGAACAUGUAAUAAAUAACUUCAAAAUGCAGUGGGUAUUUAAAGCGUGCCUUUAACAUUUAUGUAAAACGUUUUUUUGUACUCAUUCAAUAGAAACUUAUAUGGCCACUGGGUAAAGCUAGUAAUAAAACUACUGGUAGUCCACAAUGUGGUAAUAUGUUAUUAAUAUCAGACAAUCCAGGCAGCAUUCAAAUUAAUAUCACAAAUGCAUUUAAAAUUUUUGGCAGUUUUUUGGAAUUUAUUUAAAAGUAAAGUCCACAUACUGCUGUUGGAUAUGUUUCUUAAAUCUUUUAAUCUAUGGACUUCCUCUCUGUUUUUCUCUUGCAAAGAAACUGAGUUUGUCCUAUACACUUUUCCCUACAGACUAGAUUUUGCUGAUUGCAUCCUUGUGAUGUCAUGUAACUUUUCUGUCUUCCUAUUUCCUAUAAUGGAUCUAGAGGUUUGAUUAAAUUGAGAUGUAAUUUUUGCUGGUGGGGAGAGGCAAAGACAACUUUGCAAGUAUUGACAUAUUUUCUUAAGGAGGUUCAUAAUGUCUUUUGUUGUGUUUGCAAACUUAGCAGCCAUUGGUGGGCAACAUGCAGAUGAGUGAUUUUCAGCCAGGGGUGAUUUGCGCCCCCCCCCGCCCUCCGGGACAUUUGUCAAUGUCUGGAGACAGUUUUGGAUGUCACAGUUAACUGAGAGGAGUGGUGCUGUAGGCAUCUAGUGGGGAGAGGCCAGGGAUGCUGCUUAAUGUCCUAACAAUGCAUAGGAUAGCCCCUGCAGUGAAGAAUUAUCAGGCCCAAAAUGUUAAGAGUUGAAAUUGAAAAAAUAUAUGGUUUAGGUCUAUUCAUUAAAGUUUUGCAUAAUAGUGAUAUUCUGUCAUUCCUGCUUCUUUAUAUUAAUAGAGUACCUGUAUGGAGAGAAACUUGUGCUUAAAUAAUAUUUGGUUAUUCAUUCAGUCAUAGUUUAUAAAGGCAGGAUUAAUGCCCAAGUCUUUCUCUUCAGUUACAGGCUUUCAAAAAGUGAGUUGGUCAUAAGUGUCCCUCUGAUAUGAUAUACAGUCAGGCAGCCUCCCAUGCUCCUUCAAAGCCUUCCUCCCUCUUUUUCUGUCUUGCUAUAAACUUUAGCAUAUCUGUGUUUCAACUCUUUGCAGUUACUAUCAUUAUCAGUGUGCAGAUUGGCUAAGCAGGAACCUCAUCAGAUUGGUUCCUGAGUCCUUUUUUACCUUAGUAGUCUUUGGUAAUUUCCUUGAUGUGUAAUAUGACAAGGCCUAGACCUGGAAUCAGCCAUUUCUUCAAGAAGCUUUGGCUCCUUUUAGUGUGAGAGGGUAUUUCAAGACCCUAUUUUGGGGACUGGGAUAAGACAUCCCCCGAAGGUCCUGGACUGUGAGAGGCUGCAAGCCAGGCUGAGAGACAACACCCCCCCCCCCCCCCCCCGCACGAAUUUCAUCUACCAGGCCUCUAGUUAUUGAUAAAAGCUGAAUUCUAACUUACACAAAUUGAUUAAAGGUGACAUUCCCCUAUUCAAGAAAAAUAUAUUUCUAAAUGUGUAAGAUUAACAAAAAUGUUAAAAACAGAUUUUUUAGUUUUAUAGUAUGAUUGCUGUAUAGUGAAUUACUUGAUAUUUACCUUUAUUUUUUUUAGUUUAUCUGUUAAUAUGUUGUAAAAAAAGGUAUGUUAAUUGAAGCAGAAUUCAGUUUAUUUUGUGACAACCUCAGGUUUAAUAUACAAAUAAACUCUUUCAGGAUGGCAUAUUUAGUGUUCAGAGCACUGGCGAAGUCCAUAUUCAGUUAAUGGUUUCUUACACAUUUAUUUUAAAGAGUUGUUCAUCAGAAUUUAGAAUCUAAAAUUUAGUUAGUAUAUCCAAAAUAGAUAGACAUACAGUAGCUAUCAUAGCUGUUGAUACUCCUUUCUCAGAGUUGGCGUAGCGAGCAGGUCUUAUACUUUACCAUUUUGUGUUUUAUGUUAAGCACCCAUCCCACUCCCAUACCUGUCUCUGCCUACAGCUCCUUGCCCACCUUCCUGUACCCCCCACCUCCUUUCCAAUAAGUAGAUAGGCAUUUAAUUGAAGUAUAUAAGUAUAUCUGUUUGAGAGGAUCUGGAUCUUUUUAGGUAUGCUAUUAUUGGACAUAUGCAUGUUCUAAAAACAGUGGAAAAGGCUAUGUUAUUUUACUGAUUUUUGUCAGUUCUUUCAGGACUUUGAUAUCAGUUAUAUAAAUGUUGAAGUUUUAUAAUCAAUCUUGUAGAAUGAAAAAGGUGCCAGCUUUAGAAGUGUGUAGUGGUUGAGUCCUUGUUUUUAUUUUUAUAGUUUAAAGAAGUUGUUUUUUGUAACAGAACAAUUCUAAUUUAUGUGAACCAUCAUCAGAAUGUGGGCUUCUUUUUGGGAAAUAGCUGUCUAAUUGGAUCAUAGAUAGAGUUACCUAGGAAUCCAAGGACCCUUUGGUUUUGGAAUGAAGAGAGGUACUAUUAAUACUUAUUCCUGGAUAACAAGUAUUAGCUAAUACUGCCUUUAAGCACACUGAAAUGUGUGGUCUCCCUAGUCCUACAGAACAGCAGGUCUUUGACUGGAUAUAUCUCAGUAAAUUAAUGGCCCAUGGAGUUCAGUUGAGUUGUUAUGUUCAGUGCUCAUACUGAGAACCAUUCAGCAUGGUUCUUGGGUUAUAGAUAGCAGGAGGCAGAUGAUACUAAAACAUUGACUAUUUUAUAUUGUAUAAAGUGGGGCUUUCUGAAUUAGCUCUUUUUAGUUACUAUCAACUCUGUAUUAAAUCUAAUUGCCAGUUAGUAGUAGUGUUUUUUUCAGGAUUGAAUGUAUCUUUAGUAAACUCCUUUUUUUUUU